CCCGCUGAACUUAAGCAUAUCAAUAAGCGGAGGAAAAGAAACUAACAAGGAUUCCCCUAGUAACUGCGAGUGAAGCGGGAAAAGCUCAAAUUUAAAAUCUGGCGGUCUUUCGGCCGUCCGAGUUGUAAUCUGGAGAAGCGUUUAUCCGCGUUGGACCGUGUACAAGUCUUCUGGAAGGGAGCGUCAUAGAGGGUGAGAAUCCCGUCUUUGACACGGACUACCAAUGCUUUUGUGAUGCGCUCUCGAAGAGUCGAGUUGUUUGGGAAUGCAGCUCAAAAUGGGUGGUAAAUUCCAUCUAAAGCUAAAUACAGGCGAAAGACCGAUAGCGAACAAGUACCGUGAGGGAAAGAUGAAAAGCACUUUGGAAAGAGAGUUAAACAGUACGUGAAAUUGUUGAAAGGGAAACGCUUGAAGUCAGUCGCGUCUUCAGAAAUUCAGCCUGGCUUCUGCCUGGUGUACUUUUCUGUUGGACGGGCCAGCAUCAGCUUUGACCGUCAGAAAAAGGCGAGAGGAAGGUGGCACCUCCGGGUGUGUUAUAGCCUCUCGUCGUAUGUGACGGCUGGGACUGAGGACCGCAGCACGCCUUCAUGGCCGGGGUUCGCCCACGUAACGUGCUUAGGAUGCUGGCGUAAUGGCUUUAAACGACCCGUCUUGAAACACGG
rnacentral:rRNA from 1 species